UCAAUAACUUCGUUAAUUUUUUAUCUGAUCGCAACCAAAUUUUCAGGAAUCAAAAAGACUAUAGUUAUUAUUGUGUAUUUCAAAAUUCGGGCGAAAAUGUGCGUGGCACAUUUAAUAUAGACAUUUAAUUUAGUAAAUUCUUCAAUAAACAAUGGAUUAGUUACUACUUCUCAAAAUUACAACAUCUACGUCAAGAUGAUGGUAACCAGACCAAGAACUGUCAUUCUUUUAAAGAUAAUCGAACUGCUAACUACUGGAAAGCUGUAAUGAAUCAUUGGAACGGACGCCAAUGCCCAGCAUAGCAUUUGGGAAAUUCAGAAACCAAUAAAAUGGGUCGUACUUCACGCACUAUGCUAGACUUGACUUUCACCACUCUAGAUACCCAUGGAGGAGAAGGGAGAGUCCAGACCCUUCUAUUCUGAUCAUAGGUACAUUCGGUUUAAAAUUGAAUUCAACAGGGUUUCCAUGGCUAAGCAAUACGGACUGAGUGAAGUUUUCCACUAUCGUUACAAACGCUAGAUUCGGCGAGUACAAUUAAUUCGUUACAGGAUAUAGAAACAUCUGUGAAUGUUCUAUCAAAAUGAAUACUUUUCACGCUGCGACGAGAAGAUCAACGCCACCUUGGUGGAACCCAGAUCUGACAUCGCUCCGUGAAAUCUGGCCCAUCAACUACUCCUGGUACCAACUACUGUACAGCGCUGUCCCGGCGAGGUGAUCCUAUUGAAACAAUAAUUUUUGCUACCGGCCAACUGGCUUACGUAGAGUGAGAAGCAACAGCAGCACGACACGAGAAAAAAAAUAAAACAAUAAUAUAUUAGGAGUGCAACUAAGGGCUCGCUGUUUUUUCGAUAAAAACACAACUGAAUCAUCGCCAAAGCAUGCAAUCGCUUGGAAAUGGCUUGAGGGGUAACUCCUAAUUAUAAAGGAAGCUCUUCUUGAGUUUGGCACGUAUCCUGUUCGAGCAAGGCCGCCUUCGAAGGUUUUGGGCCUUCCUUCACGAGGACGGCCGUCAACAUAAGAAUCACAGUAUUUGAAGAGACAAAACCAAACACGGCAUGUUUCGCAGCAUUUCCGUACAUUUUUUGAAGCUCUCGACGCGCUUGAGCUGCCUUUUUUUUCAAAUGGAAGAAGAAAAUCAACACUUCCCGCAAAUUACGAUUGUUUGACAUUUUUACUAAACCAGAAGUAUUUAAUGCGAACACAAAAUCACUCAUGUGUUGCAGCAGUUUGUUUACCAAAAGUCUAAGCUUGGUUCGUGAUGUUUUAAAUAUGUCCAAAUCGACCAACUCUUACUGCUAGAGCCAUUUACUGACAAACAGCGAGAUCUUAGUUUCGCACCUAGUAUAACAAAU